UACGUAGGGUGCAGGCGUUAAUCGGAAUUACUGGGCGUAAAGCGUGCGCAGGCGGUUUGCUAAGACAGGUGUGAAAUCCCCAGGCUCAACCUGGGAACUGCGUCUGAUACUGGAUGGCUUGAAUCCGGGAGAGGGAUGCAGAAUUCCAGGUGUAGCGGUGAAAUGCGUAGAUAUCUGGAGGAACACCGGUGGCGAAGGCGGCAUCCUGGACCGGCAUUGACGCUGAGGCGCGAAAGCCAGGGGAGCAAACGGG
rnacentral:rRNA from 1 species